rnacentral:rRNA from 1 species
GAUGAACGCUGGCGGCGUGCCUAAUACAUGCAAGUCGAGCGAACGGACGAGAAGCUUGCUUCUCUGAUGUUAGCGGCGGACGGGUGAGUAACACGUGGAUAACCUACCUAUAAGACUGGGAUAACUUCGGGAAACCGGAGCUAAUACCGGAUAAUAUUUUGAACCGCAUGGUUCAAAAGUGAAAGACGGUCUUGCUGUCACUUAUAGAUGGAUCCGCGCUGCAUUAGCUAGUUGGUAAGGUAACGGCUUACCAAGGCAACGAUGCAUAGCCGACCUGAGAGGGUGAUCGGCCUCACUGGAGCUGAGACACGGUCCAGACUCCUACGGGAGGCAGCAGUAGGGAAUCUUCCGCAAUGGGCGAAAGCCUGACGGAGCAACGCCGCGUGAGUGAUGAAGGUCUUCGGAUCGUAAAACUCUGUUAUUAGGGAAGAACAUAUGUGUAAGUAACUGUGCACAUCUUGACGGUACCUAAUCAGAAAGCCACGGCUAACUACGUG